rnacentral:rRNA from 1 species
ACGUAUGGAGCAAGCGUUAUCCGGAUUUACUGGGUGUAAAGGGAGUGCAGGUGGCCAGGCAAGUCAGAAGUGAAAGCCCGGGGCUCAACCCCGGGACUGCUUUUGAAACUGCAGGGCUAGAGUGCAGGAGGGGCAAGUGGAAUUCCUAGUGUAGCGGUGAAAUGCGUAGAUAUUAGGAGGAACACCAGUGGCGAAGGCGGCUUGCUGGACUGUAACUGACACUGAGGCUCGAAAGCGUGGGGAGCAAACAG